UAACUCCAUGCUGCUGAAAAGGCAGCUAGACAACGUCCAGGCCACCUACAACAAAGACUACCACUAUGCUGUGGGAUAUGACAGCCCAAUGAACAUUCUGAAUAGGCACAACGAGGUGUGGCACAUGGUUGAGGGAGAGCCUGUGUGCCCUACCUCCUCCUAAACAUCCUCCUCCAUUACUGCUGAGUCUGGCAUAACCACUUUGAGGAGGACCAAUGGGAGGUGCAUGGUAAACUGAGAACAUCUGAGAAAAUGUGGUUUGGGGGCAACAAAGAUAUUAACUAAGACAUGUGUCUCUGAUCUGGUGGCACUAUAAUCCAAAAUCAAUA